CUGGCGGCGUGCUUAACACAUGCAAGUCGAGCGGUAAGGCCCUUCGGGGUACACGAGCGGCGAACGGGUGAGUAACACGUGAGCCACCUGCCCCUGACUCCGGGAUAAGCGGUGGAAACGCCGUCUAAUACCGGAUAUGACCUGUCACCUCAUGGUGGCGGGUGGAAAGUUUUAUCGGUCAGGGAUGGGCUCGCGGCCUAUCAGCUUGUUGGUGGGGUAAAGGCCUACCAAGGCGAUUACGGGUAGCCGGCCUGAGAGGGCAACCGGCCACACUGGGACUCAGACACGGCCCAGACUCCUGCGGGAGGCAGCAGUGGGGAAUAUUGCACAAUGGGCGAAAGCCUGAUGCAGCGACGCCGCGUGGGGGAUGACGGCCUUCGGGUUGUAAACCUCUUUUACCACCAACGCAGGCUCCGGGUUUUCUCGGGGUUGACGGUAGGUGGGGAAUAAGGACCGGCUAACUACGUGCCAGCAGCCGCGGUAAUACGUAGGGUCCGAGCGUUGUCCGGAAUUAUUGGGCGUAAAGAGCUCGUAGGCGGCAUGUCGCGUCUGCUGUGAAAGACCGGGGCUUAACUCCGGUUCUGCAGUGGAUACGGGCAUGCUAGAGGUAGGUAGGGGAAACUGGAAUUCCUGGUGUAGCGGUGAAAUGCGCAGAUAUCAGGAGGAACACCGGUGGCGAAGGCGGGUUUCUGGGCUUACCUGACGAUGAGGAGAGAAAGAAUGGGAGCGAACAGGAU
rnacentral:rRNA from 1 species